rnacentral:tRNA from 4 species
GGCCCCAUCGUCUAGAGGCCUAGGACACCGCCCUUUCAAGGCGAGAACACCAGUUCGAAUCUGGUUGGGGCUGCCA